CCUACGGGAGGCAGCAGUGAGGAAUAUUGGUCAAUGGGCGGAAGCCUGAACCAGCCAAGUAGCGUGCAGGAUGACGGCCCUACGGGUUGUAAACUUCUUUUAUACGGGAAUAACGUGCCUUACGUGUGUGUCUUUGCAUGUACUUUAUGAAUAAGGACCGGCUAAUUCCGUGCCAGCAGCCGCGGUAAUACGGAAGGUCCGGGCGUUAUCCGGAUUUAUUGGGUUUAAAGGGAGCGUAGGCGGCUUGUCAAGCGUGCUGUGAAAUGUCCGGGCUCAACCCGGGCCUUGCAGUGGCAACUGGCGUGCUUGAGUUCGAGGGAAGCAGGCGGAAUUCGUGGUGUAGCGGUGAAAUGCUUAGAUAUGACGAAGAACCCCGAUUGCGAAGGCAGCUUGCUGCCGCGGCACUGACGCUGAUGCUCGAAAGCGCGGGUAUCGAACAGGAUUAGAUACCCGAGUAGUC
rnacentral:rRNA from 1 species